rnacentral:rRNA from 1 species
GACGAACCGUGCGAACGUUGUUCGGAAUCACUGGGUUUAAAGGGCGCGUAGGCGGGCUGUCAAGUCGGUGGUGAAAUCUUUCGGCUCAACCGGAAAAUUGCCUUCGAUACUGGCGGCCUGGAGGGAGGUAGGGGCAUGCGGAACUUCCGGUGGAGCGGUGAAAUGCGUAGAUAUCGGAAGGAACACCGAUGGCGAAAGCAGCGUGCUGGACCGUGUCUGGCGCUGAGGCGCGAAAGCCAGGGGAGCAAACGGG